AGAGUUUGAUUAUGGCUCAGGAUGAACGCUAGCUACAGGCUUAACACAUGCAAGUCGAGGGGCAGCAUGACCGAAGCUUGCUUUGAUUGAUGGCGACCGGCGCACGGGUGAGUAACGCGUAUCCAACCUUCCCUAUAGUAGAGAAUAGCCCGGCGAAAGUCGGAUUAAUGCUCUAUGUUGUAUUUAGAAGACAUCUGAAGAAUACCAAAGGUUUACCGCUAUAGGAUGGGGAUGCGUCUGAUUAGGUUGUUGGCGGGGUAACGGCCCACCAAGCCCACGAUCAGUAGGGGUUCUGAGAGGAAGGUCCCCCACAUUGGAACUGAGACACGGUCCAAACUCCUACGGGAGGCAGCAGUGAGGAAUAUUGGUCAAUGGACGGAAGUCUGAACCAGCCAAGUAGCGUGCAGGAUGACGGCCCUAUGGGUUGUAAACUGCUUUUAUACAGGGAUAAAGUGAGGGACGUGUCCCUUUUUGUAGGUACUGUAUGAAUAAGGACCGGCUAAUUCCGUGCCAGCAGCGGC
rnacentral:rRNA from 1 species